AUAAACAUUCUGAUUUAAUAAAUGGUAUGAAUAUAUAUUUUGCAUACUUUACAAUAAAGAAAAUUUUGAAAGAAAAUGGAUCUAAAACUUUGUUUCCCUCCAAUUUACAUAGUAAAGUCAACUGCAUACAGUUCUUUCCAUGUGUAAGUUUUACAUUUGUAUUUUCUACAAUUAAGUAAAUCUAAAUGUUAAAUUUUAACACAUAUAUCCAAUUAUGUACACAAUUACAAUGUCAAUUUAUAAGUCAAGCUUACUUAACAAUCAUAAAUUACAAAAAACGCACUAUGAAUAAUUUUGUUCUAGAAGUAUCACAUCAACUCAUAUGAUCUAGGUGAACCCAAAAGUAAAAAAUAAUGAUUAUAAAUUAUGGUAGUGUCUGUAAAACCCUGUUAUAAAGGAGGUAUUCUUUUAAAAUAUGUACCUUAUAUAUAAAAGCUCCUGACUCCUUUUAAGGACCAAAAUUAUUUUCAGUCUAACCAUUUUCAUUAAAGCGCUUAUUUAAAAAGUAUCACCUUAUAAAACUGAGUAUAUAAAAUACAAUGCAGCCCUUGAUAGCUAAGAAUCUUUAUAAACGCCAAUGAUUUAGUGACCUGUUUAUCAAACUAUUUCUAUGGAUGGGUUGAUUUUUUUUCUUCCUCUAAAUUAAGUGGCCCUAGACUAAUAUAUUUGUUCAGUUAUUCUGUUUUCUUCCUUACUGCCAUUUCACAUCUCCAUCAGUGAGUUCCUCAGGAUUUGCCUUUAUGUUACAACUAUGAAAGUCUUCAAUCCAAUUCCCUGCUUCCACACAAAGGACAAAGAAAGCCUAAACUUUCCUUUUCCUUUUUUCUGGGCUCCAAUAGGAAGCAGCAUUUACAACGUGUCUGGCUUGGUGGGAGGAAGAUUGUCAAUUGAGGUAUCAUGUGUGUUCACCUGCCUCUCUUGCCCUAUUUCUUUGGUUGCUAUAAAUUUCCUGCUUCUCAAAUAUCUGGAUUUUUGGCUACCUAUUUGGCUUCCGUCUUUGGUGUUUAUAUCUGUCUGGUUUUAGCAGGUCUCUCUGAUUCCUGACCCACAGCUCCUCUCCUUCUCUAAUAUUCAAGUAUGCUGCUUCCCUAACUCCUCAUUCCUUCUCCUUGAAUUUCACUUUACAAUUGCGCUAGGUUCUAACAUCGUUGGCCAUAGAUUACCACAAAACAUAAUUUCUUAAAUUCUGCAAAUUUCUAAUGUUUCUAAUCUUGGUUUCCUACAAGAUCUAACACUAAGCUUGUGUUAUCCUGAUUACAGUGUAUAUAAAACAAUGCUUGUGGAAAAUUAACCUAGGAGAAAGCUUAUAGGGGAAACCUGAUGAUGAAUUUUAUUAAAUUAAUAACCCUUAUAACAAUUUCAAAUGUAAUACUAUCUGGAUUUGAACUUCAAUACUUUUCCUAAGUAAAAUUCUUAACCAUGGUAGAAGUUAUGUUUGUUGAUGUUCACUCAUCUAUACCCUCCAUAUUCUCAGCAAAGUUGGCAUAAAUCUGACCUGAAUAAACAGGGUUAUAACAUUAUCAGGCUUGUAAAAUACUUUAUCAAAUCAAUGCAUCAGUUAAAGCAGGGGUCCCCAGCCCUGGG
rnacentral:lncRNA from 10 species